ACCUAUGACGGACAUCACCUGUAAUGCGCCCAACUUUGUCACAUCUCGGAAGCUAAGCAGGAUUGAGCCUGGAUAGUGCUUGGUAUGGACGGCCACCAUACACGGCAGGUGCUAUGGGCA
rnacentral:rRNA from 1 species